GAGCAGGUCUGUUCGAGCGUCCGCCAAUCGACAAAAGCGUUGUCGUCCUCCGGGACGGCAAGAAUGAGGAGCUGCGGCGAUGGACGUGCGCCGCACUCCUUGAAAAGACGUGCCAGCGGAUUGCGACGCGGCGGUCCGAAGAGACGUCGUCGCAACAUCGUGAACGGUUGCGUCGUCGCAUCUCUUGGGAACCGCGGAGUCAGAUCGGCGGCCGGAAAUCAGGAAGCGACCAUCUGGACCUCGGAUCAGGCCA
rnacentral:misc_RNA from 1 species